AGGAUGAACGCUGGCGGCGUGCUUAAUACAUGCAAGUCGAACGGAGGAUUUUGUAGUAAUACAGAGUUCUCAGUGGCGAACGGGCGAGUAACGAGUUGGUGACCUGCCCCGAAGUGUGGGAUAACAGUCCGAAAGGAUUGCUAAUACCGCAUGUGAUCAUGGGAUUUAGAAACCUAUGAUUAAAGCAGUAAUGCGCUUCGGGAGGGAUCUGCUUCCCAUCAGCUAGUUGGUGAGGUAAUGGCCCACCAAGGCUACGACGGGUAAGGGACCUGAGAGGGUGGUCCCUCGCAAUGGCACUGAAACACGGGCCAUACACCUACGGGUGGCAGCAGUAGGGAAUAUUGGGCAAUGGGCGAAAGCCUGACCCAGCAACGCCGCGUGCACGAUGAAGGCCUUCGGGUCGUAAAGUGCUUUUCUGAGGGAUGAGUAAGGACAGUACCUCAGGAAUAAGCCUCGGCUAACUACGUGCCAGCAGCCGCGGUAAAACGUAGGAGGCGAGCGUUAUCCGGAUUUACUGGGCGUAAAGCGUGUGUAGGCGGUUCGGCAAGUUGGAUGUGAAAGCUCCUGGCUUAACUAGGAGAGGUCGUUCAAUACUACCGAACUUGAGGGCAUCAGAGGAAGGUGGAAUUCCCGGUGUAGUGGUGAAAUGCGUAGAUAUCGGGAGGAACACCAGUGGCGAAAGCGGCCUUCUGGGAUGUUCCUGACGCUCAGACACGAAAGCUAGGGUAGCAAACGGGAUUAGAGACCCCGGUAGUCCUAGCAGUAAACGAUGUAGACUUGGUGUCGGAGGUGUCAAAACCUUCGGUAUCGUAGCUAACGCGAUAAGUCUACCGCCUGGGGACUACGGCCGCAAGGUUAAA
rnacentral:rRNA from 1 species